rnacentral:rRNA from 1 species
AAUGAACGUUGGCGGCGUGGAUUAGGCAUGCAAGUCGAGGGAGAACCCGCAAGGGGGACACCGGCGAACGGGGUAGGAAUACGUAGGUAACGUACCCUCAGGACGGGGAUAGCCACGGGAAACUGUGGGUAAUACCCGAUGAUCUGGCCGGGAUCAAUUUCCUAGUCAGCAAAGGUGAGAUUCCACCUGAGGAGCGGCCUACGCGAUAUUAGCUAGUUGGCGAGGUAACGGCUCACCAAGGCGACGAUAUCUAGGGGGUGUGAGAGCAUGGCCCCCACCACUGGGACUGAGAUACUGCCCAGACACCUACGGGUGGCUGCAGUCGAGAAUCUUCGGCAAUGGGCGAAAGCCUGACCGAGCGACGCCGCGUGCGGGAUGAAGGUCUUCGGAUUGUAAACCGCUGUCGGGAGGGAUGAAGUGCACGGGGGCAAUCCCCUGUGUUUGACAGAGCUCCGGAGGAAGCAUGGGCUAAGUUCGUGCCAGCCGCCGCGGUAACAC